CCUACGGGGUGCAGCAGUGGGGAAUAUUGGGCAAUGGGCGGAAGCCUGACCCAGCAACGCCGCGUGAAGGAAUAAGGCCUUCGGGUUGUAAACUUCUUUUGGCAGGGACGAAGGAUGUGACGGUACCUAAUGAAUAAGCCACGGCUAACUACGUGCCAGCAGCCGCGGUAAUACGUAGGUGGCAAGCGUUGUCCGGAUUUACUGGGUGUAAAGGGCGCGUAGGCGGCCUGACAAGUCUGUGGUGAAAUCGUGGGGCUCAACCCCAUCAAGCCACAGAAACUGUGAGGCUGGAGAACAGUAGAGGCAAGCGGAAUUCCAUGUGUAGCGGUAAAAUGCGUAGAUAUAUGGAGGAACACCAGUGGCGAAGGCGGCUUGCUGGACUGUGACUGACGCUGAGGCGCGAAAGCGUGGGGAGCAAACAGGAUUAGAUACCCUUGUAG
rnacentral:rRNA from 1 species